rnacentral:ribozyme from 1 species
UUUUGGGUGAUAGUAUUGAACAAAGCACUUUGGAGAAUUUUCAUCGAUUUCUGUGAUUGUUUUUCCUCUCUUCAAAAUACAUAUAUAAAUAUUAUAUAUAUAUAUAUAUAU